GGAUGCAAGGGCAAUUCAGCCUGCAAACCUGCCACCCAUUGAUUUCCAGAGUCCACUUGGCCCAUCUGCUGACCAGGCAGGUGUCUCCUUCCUCUCUCAGGGUCCAUGUGCAUACUUUCCCAAGUUGUGAGUUCUGUGAAAGAGGAGGACAUUCCUCACAGGAGGACCGUUCUCCAGUGAAGGAUAUAUGAGCAGCUGUGCACCUGCCCUGCCACUACAGAUGUCAAUCAACUAUCAGGUUUCAUAAAAUGGGGGUAAUAAUAAUCACCUUACU
ensembl:misc_RNA 7SK 7SK RNA